rnacentral:rRNA from 1 species
GACGAACGCUGGCGGCGUGCUUAACACAUGCAAGUCGAACGGAAAGGCCCAGCUUGCUGGGUGCUCGAGUGGCGAACGGGUGAGUAACACGUGGGUGAUCUGCCUCUAACUUCGGGAUAAGCUUGGGAAACUGGGUCUAAUACCGGAUAGGACAAUCGUUUAGUGUCGGUUGUGGAAAGUUUUUUCGGUUAGGGAUGAGCCCGCGGCCUAUCAGCUUGUUGGUGGGGUAAUGGCCUACCAAGGCGUCGACGGGUAGCGGGCCUGAGAGGGUGGACGGCCACAUUGGGACUGAGAUACGGCCCAGACUCCUACGGGAGGCAGCAGUGGGGAAUAUUGCACAAUGGGCGCAAGCCUGAUGCAGCGACGCCGCGUGGGGGAUGACGGCCUUCGGGUUGUAAACCUCUUUCGACAGGGACGAAGCUUUGGUGACGGUACCUGUAUAAGAAGCACCGGCUAACUACGUG